rnacentral:rRNA from 1 species
GAGGCAUGCCUGCCCAGUGACACCAGUUUAACGGCCGCGGUAUUCUGACCGUGCAAAGGUAGCAUAAUCACUUGUUCUCCAAAUAAGGACUUGUAUGAAUGGCCACACGAGGGUUUUACUGUCUCUUACUUCCAAUCAGUGAAAUUAACCUUCCCGUGAAGAGGCGGGAAUAAAAAAAUAAGACGAGAAGACCCUAUGGAGCUUUAAUUAACUAUUCCAAAAGUUAAACAACUCAACCACAAAGGGAUAAAACAUAACUUAACAUGGACUAGCAAUUUCGGUUGGGGUGACCUCGGAGUACAAAAAACCCUCCGAGUGAUUUUAAUCUAGACAAACCAGUCAAAAUAACCAUAACAUCACUUAUUGAUCCAAAAUUUUGAUCAACGGAACAAGUUACCCUAGGGAUAACAGCGCAAUCCUGUUCUAGAGUUCCUAUCGACAAUAGGGUUUACGACCUCGAUGUUGGAUCAGGACACCCAAAUGGUGCAACCGCUAUUAAA